UACCAUAUGGAAAGGUGGGAGAUACGGU
rnacentral:piRNA from 1 species